rnacentral:snRNA from 1 species
GAACGGAGCAAUCCGGUCCG